rnacentral:rRNA from 2 species
CUGGUGUCAGCCGCCGCGGUAAUACCAGCACCCCGAGUGGUCGGGACGAUUAUUGGGCCUAAAGCAUCCGUAGCCGGCCUUACAAGUCCUCCGUUAAAUCCAGCUGCUUAACAGAUGGGCUGCGGAGGAUACUAUAAGACUAGGAGGCAGGAGAGGCAAGCGGUACUCAGUGGGUAGGGGUAAAAUCCGUUGAUCCAUUGAAGACCACCAGUGGCGAAGGCGGCUUGCCAGAAUGCGCUCGACGGUGAGGGAUGAAAGCUGGGGGAGCAAACCGGAUUAGAUACCCGGGUAGUCCCAGCUGUAAACGAUGCAGACUCGGUGAUGGACUAGCUUUAUGCUGGUCCAGUGCCGCAGGGGAGCCGUUAAGUCUGCCGCCUGGGUAGUACGGUCGCAAGACUGAAACUUAAAG